CCUACGGGAGGCAGCAGUGGGGGAUAUUGCACAAUGGGGGGAACCCUGAUGCAGCGACGCCGCGUGGGUGAAGGAGUAUUUCGGUAUGUAAAGCCCUAUCGGCAGGGAAGAAUUUAGACGGUACCUGACUAAGAAGCCCCGGCUAACUACGUGCCAGCAGCCGCGGUAAUACGUAGGGGGCAAGCGUUAUCCGGAUUCACUGGGUGUAAAGGGAGCGUAGACGGCCAGGCAAGCCUGGAGUGAAAGCCCGGGGCCCAACCCCGGGACUGCUCUGGGAACUGUCCGGCUGGAGUGCGGGAGGGGUAAGCGGAAGUCCUAGUGUAGCGGUGAAAUGCGUAGAUAUUAGGAGGAACACCAGUGGCGAAGGCGGCUUACUGGACUGUAACUGACGUUGAGGCUCGAAAGCGUGGGGAGCAAACAGGAUUAGAUACCCGAGUAGUC
rnacentral:rRNA from 1 species